rnacentral:lncRNA from 1 species
UGUGCACCAUAUCACCAAUCUCCACAUAAUGUUGAAGCUCUACAAUGUUGGCUAUGUCUUUGUUAAGACCAUUUUAGAACCUUGCCAUAGUAGCUUCCCUAUCCUCUUUAAUAUUAGCCCUUAUCAUGGCUAUUUCUAUCUCUUUGUAGUAGUCUUCUACACUCUUGUUCCCUUAUAUAUGGUCUUGCAAUUUUUGAUAUAAGUCUCUAUAGUAGUGAGUAGGAACAAAGAACAUUCUCAUGAUAGCCUUCAUUUUAGCCUAAGUGGAAAUAGGUCUCUCUUCAUUUCUCCUUUUACUUGUGAUGAGUUGAUCCCACCACACAAUGGCAUACUCUCCAAACUCCACGGUCGCAAGCUUUAUCUUUUUCUCCUCCAAAUAAUUGUGGCACUAAAAAAUAAGCUCCACCUUGCGCUCCCAUUCAAGAUAAGCAUUCAGAUCAUUCUUGCCUAGAAACGAUGAGAUUUUCAUUUUGAUGCUCUUAAUGUUUUUAUCAAGAUUAUUUCGACCCCUACUAUAAUUUCGAUC